rnacentral:rRNA from 1 species
UACAGAGGUCCCGAGCGUUGUUCGGAUUCAUUGGGCGUAAAGGGUGCGUAGGCGGCGGGGCAAGUCUGAUGUGAAAUCCCGGGGCUCAACCCCGGAACUGCAUUGGAUACUGCCUUGCUAGAGUACUGGAGAGGGAACUGGAAUUUACGGUGUAGCGGUGAAAUGCGUAGAGAUCGGGAGGAACACCAGUGGCGAAGGCGGCUACCUGGACCAGCACUGACACUGAGGCACGAAAGCGUGGGGAGCAAACAGG